GCCGUUGGAAGUCGAAGUUGGCGGCCGGAAUUGCUGACGCCAGCCGCCGUCGCAGUCGGAAUUUUUGUGGCUGACAAUUGAAGAAACCAAUAGCGGCAGCCGCAAGACCAAUUCUGAGUCUUUACUGGCAGGCAAGAUCUGCGGCCCCGCUUCUCAGAGUGACUUUUCAUCCGAGUCAUGCGCUGGGAAUCAUGGGAGCCAUAGUUAUUCUACAGCAUCGUGAACGGAUUUGGUGGUGCGCAAAAGCAUAGUAGGUAGUUUUGCACUUCCCUAGUCAUUUCACCUGAAGGAUGAAAUUGCCCCCACCACUUCAACAAUUUCUUUAACCAGCGAGCUGCUUCCCCUUUUGACUGACAUGAACCAGAAGACAAAGGGUGGAAUAAUUGACUGCCUUUCUGAAUGUGUGGAUAAAGAAACCGCUCAAACUGUCUGGAACUUUUUUCACACAAUUGGGACUACCCUGGAGAAUAAUCCCAACUGGUCUACGUGAAGGGAUGUAAACUAAAUAAACAUGGUUGUUUGGAUCACAGACUGACCAUCGGACCGCCCCAGGAGCGCACAGGAAUCACACAGACAGGUUGGUGUAGAAUGUGCCUGAGCCUCAUUGAAUGAUUGACAAGCAAUCGAGUGAGGGCACAGCUGCAUAAAAGAGGCAGGAAGCUUUCAGUCUGGGCUGCAUUUUGUUCAGAGG